GCCCUUGUGGUGAAGUGGUCAGCACGCUCGACGCGUAACCGAGAGGUCCGUGGUUCGAUUCCCGGCGAGGGCA
rnacentral:tRNA from 1 species